GUGAGAUACACACCACUGAUUCUCACUGUAGUUACAGCAGGCAGUUUUGCAGAUAAAAUUGGGCCAGCAGAUAAAGAUGCCAAAAUCAUCAGGAAAGAAACAGACACUGUUACUCUGAAAUGUUCAUAUGAGACAAACAGUGAUGAAAUUGAUCUUUACUGGUACAAACAAAAUGCUAAAAGUGCACCACAGUAUUUACUGUAUAAAGGCGCAAGAUCAAGAUCUGGUGGUAGCACUCCUGAUGAUCAUCGAUUAGAGUCAGAAA